rnacentral:rRNA from 1 species
AGCUCGUGUCGUGAGAUGUUGGGUUAGGUCCCGCCAACGAGCGCAACCUUGUGUUUAGUUGCAAACAGGUCAAGCUGUGCACUCUAGACAGACUGCCGUGGACAACACGGAGGAAGGUGGGGAUGACGUCAAAUCAUCAUGCCCCUUAUGAUCUGGGCUACACACGUGCUACAAUGGCCGGUACAACGGGCAGCGAAGGAGCGAUCCGGAGCGAAUCCUAAAAAGCCGGUCCCAGUUCGGAUUGCAGGCUGAAACUCGCCUACAUGAAGUCGGAAUCGCUAGUAAUCGUGAAUCAGAAUGUCACGGUGAAUACGUUCCCGGGCCUU